rnacentral:lncRNA from 1 species
UAAAAAUGCUAACGUUGGGGGUGGGGGGGACGUUUAGGCAAAAGCGGUAGGGCUACCAUCAGACCUGGAGAACCCGAGCUCUCACCACCAGCAGUUCCUGCUGUCCUCUGCCACAUCCCUUUAUCUGCUUUUCAUAGUUCCACGGGCGACUUUUCUGUCCCACGCUUCGGGUGCUGGCGUCAGAGAACCAGGGGCAAGCGCAGUUCAUACCCACGUCUUGGAAGCUUGUUUCUGAGUUUGGGUUGGUUUGGUUGGCUUAUCGUUUCACAGCCUAAGCUAGACGGAGCUAGAAGAAAGGAAUCCUGCAGCCGCUGUGCGUGCGGGCUUCUGGGCUCUGCUUAUUUGUGAACCAAAUGCUUAAAGAAUGUGCUGGAUGUACUCCAUACAAAAGGCUUUCCCUAAACCUUUCCAUCCUAGAUCUGCCAGGUAAUCUACUUCGUCCACCUCCAAGCUCACCAGCUUAGCUUUCUGAACUUUAAGGUCUCUGAGCUAACUAUUGUGCUGCAUGCUUUCCAGAAAAAAAAAAUCCACUUGCUUCUUCCAGCUCCACACCUCACUUCCGCCCGCGCUUCCUUGUGAUCAGAGGUUGGCUUUGACGUGCCAUGACAGUUGGCUUCCUCUUGAACUGCUGUGAAAACAGUCUAGUACAGAGAUGCUGUCAGCUGGGGUGGGAGUUGAGAGCGCUUGUGAAGCCGGGGCGUGUGCUGGCAAAGAUUGCCCUGCAGAAGAUACACGAUUUGCCACUUCCGGGUGUUCAUCUCCCUGCUGGUCGAAGUGUUUGUAGAUUCUGACCUGUGGUCCGAAGUUCUGUCUGACUUUCCUUCUUGUGGCCUUUGGAGGGAGCAAGUCACCUUCUUCCUGACCUGCCUACCCAGGCCAUGUGGUGAGGCUGAGGAACUCUUAGCCUCAAGUGAUAGUGGUAGGUGUUUAUUUUUUGGUGACGCUUCAUGGGGCUGCUGCACAGCUCUCACAAACUGCCCGUUAAGCUUGUCUUGUGCUGUCAUCGCUGCGACAGAUACAUGAGUGCUCCACGGCCUAGCUCGGCUGGGACCUGAAUCUUCUAGUGAAAAGCUUUUCCUUGCCCCCAAAUGUUUAAUCUAGCCCGAUUCACAACGACACAGAAUUCCUUGGCUUUCAAAGGCUUGUAUCUGCCUGCAUCUUGUUUUGUCCUCACAGCCCAGGGAGAUAGGGGUUUUCAGUACCUUUACCCAGGCUUGGAAGCUAAGGUUACAGGUUGAGGGUGAGAGGUCUCUUGUAUGAGAGACAAUAUUGAGACUCGAAUGCAAGGCUCUCUAAGAGUCUCUUUUCUGCCCCACCUGAUUUCUCCAGAUGCUAACUGCAAGACAAAUUGACUUUGUCCUUUUAGAAGUUUCCUGCCUGCCAAGAACUUUCUGAGGGGACAGUCUUCCAAAAAGGAGGAGGAGCUUGAAGUCGCUCCAUUUUCUAGCAUCCUCUGGUUGCUUCAGGGCAGCUUUGCAUGGACCAAAGCUGUUCUUGGAGGCUGCAAACCAAAUCCUGGAAGCACCUUGCUUGUCUUCCCCACUAUCUUCCUUCCUAAGGGAAUUACUUUUCUUUUUCCAAGCUGGUCGGCAAGUUCUACUAUGCGACAGAUCACUCCAGGCUUCUGGUCACCCCCUCAUGGGCAAUAUUUGCUACUUCGGCCAAGGGUUUCAGACAGCCCAGCAGGCCCCAAGCUGGCUCCGCCCUCUUGCUGAUGGGAGGAGCAACAGGCAGGUUAAGCCUCGCUCCCACAUUCUCCUGGGUGUCUAAACCUCAGCAUAUCCAGGAGACCACGUGGUAGAGUGCCCGUCCCUGCCUUGGGAAGAGAAAGGUUUCCCAUCUCUGCUCCAGCUUGAGAAGCGUCUUAUCAUGAAACACGAGGUCAGCAGAGAUCUGUGUGCGUGACUUGCACAGACAUGGAAACAUAAAUGCAGUUAAAAUGCUGACAUAUCAGAUGUGAGGUUCUGUAUCCUCUUACAGAAUGUGAAUCUGGUGGUUCCAAAUUUAGCCUUCUCACACCCCCUAUCCUCAUUCAUCCUCUCUGGCUAAGCGAUGAGCCCCCUAUUUCUCAUCCCCAAAAAAAUCCCCAGCGUGGGCCGCUCUGUGCGCUGCUGUAGGCCACGCAGCUGCCUAAUUACUAGCGAAUCUUUGAAAUUAAGAGAAAGCCACGCCCAUUGGCAAAGGCACUAAUUCUUCUCUGCUCUGGCAAUGGCAGGACCCCAAAAGCAGAACUCCAUUUUACGUAGGAGGUCGUGGGAGCAAGAAGAGGACAAGCUGGUCUCCCUAGGCAGGGCAGUGAGCAGACACUGUAAAUAUUUUUACACAAAAUUUUAUUAAAGCAAAAGUUAUUUCCUGAAGAUCCACCCUGGGUGAGGCUUUGUGUUGGCUUUAGAAAUCACCUCGGGCCUAAGAAUACAUUUCUUACAUAGCUCCUUCAUUGUGCUCAAAGAAAGCAAAGGAUUCACGUGCUCAAUUUAAAAGUCUCCGAAAAACAUGGGUUGUUUUUUUUUCCUAGACUUUUCAGGAUUUUCUCUUCUUAGCUUUGUCACAAUGUGGGGUAGGACAGGGUCUCCCAGGAUGCAUGGGUCCCUCUGCUUGGUGGAGGCUGUCCAGGCACUUGGUCUUCUAAGCAGUGAGGAAGCCUAGGUGUAUCCCGGUUCACCAUGGGAGCCCCCGUGUAGCUCCGACCCCUCCAGACAUGCAACUUCUACUUGUGUUCACAGCGACCAUCUUCACUGAUCAACCCUGUGCCACGUGGUGUGUGUUUUCCCCACUGACAAUGAAUAAAAGGUGUGACUGUACAAGAA